rnacentral:lncRNA from 1 species
UUAGCAGCAAAAAAGAGUAACAUAUCAUACUUUAUAGACCUUGCGAGAAAAAAGAGAGUUUUUAAGAAACUAAUUAAUCAUAACUUUAGAGACAGGUAGAAUGUAGUUUAUGAUAGAUUAUCUUAAUUUAGAAAUUAGUGAACCUCAAAAAAGAAAAAUCACUCUAGACCAAAAUAGUUUAGUUUGUUAUUUUCCUUUGAGAAAACAUAAUCAUAUUUUGUAUAGUGAAGAAGAUCCACAAGCCAAUAGUAUUAUAUAUCUUAUUAUUAGUCAAGCAGAAAAUAUAAAACUAGAAAAUAAUAAGCAUAUUAUUUAUUAAAUUAGUUGUUAGAGCAUUUCAGAAAAAUUCCAUAAAAACAAUUAGACAAAAUUUAGAUUAUAUUACAUCUUAGUUAGAAGAUAAUAAUAAAAAUAUCCAAAAGUUUCCUUGCAAAAGAGAGAUAAAAGAGCUUAUUGACAUCAUAGAUAGUAAGUCUAAGCAAGUAGAACUUAGAUCACUAGAAAUAGUUGAGCAAUUAAAAUUAGAAGUUCAAAAAAUGCAAUUAGUGCAAAAAGAGUUGAGUGAAUAAGUAUAUAAAUUACAUGAUAAAAUAGAUAAAUUAUUCAAUUAGUGCAAAAAGAGUAGAGUGAACAGGCUUUUUAAUAGUAUAAUUAUAAUAGUAAAUUAAGUACCUUGAGGUAGGAAGUCAUUAACACAACUGAUAUCACACACUUGUUUAAUUUUAUAUGAACAAUAGAUAUUAUUGUCUUUGUAGACCAUGUCAACCACAACCACCAUGUAUUUAUUAUCCUAGACAUCCAACUACAACUAGCAUAAAGAGAAUAUUAGCAUAUAUUUCCAAAAGAAUUAACAAGACUUUGAAGAAGUAGAAGUUUUAUCGUGGUUAUCUUGAACAUUCUUCAUUUAUUAAUAAAUAUAAUAACACAGAAAUGCAGCAUAACAUAUUAGCAUAAAAAAGGAGUAACAUAUCAUACUUUAGAUACUUUGCGAGAAGAAAGAGAGUUUUUAAGAAACUAAUUAAUCAAAACUUUAGAGACAUGUAGACUGUAGUUUAUGAUAGAUUAUCUUAAUUUAGAAAUUAGUGAACCUCAAAAAAGAAAAAUCACUCUAGACCAAAAUAGUUUAGUUUGUUAUUUUCCUUUGAGAAAGCAUAAUCAUAUUUUGUAUAGUGAAAAAGAUCCACAAGCCAAUAGUAUUAUAGAUCUUAUUAUUAGUCAAGCAGAAAAUAUAAAACUAGAAAAUAAUAUGCAUAAUUAUUUGUUAAAUUAGUUGUUAGAGCAUUUCAGAAAAAUUCCAUAAAAACAAUUAGACAAAAUUUAGAUUAUAUUACAUCUUAGUUAGAAGAUAAUAAUAAAAAUAUGCAAUGGUUUCCUUGCAAAAGAGAGAUAAAAGAGCUUAUUGACCUCAUAGAUAGUAAGUCUAAGCAAGUAGAACUUAGAUCACUAGAAAUAGUUGAGCAAUUAAAAUUAGAAGUUCAAAAAAUUCAAUUAGUGCAAAAAGAGUUGAGUGAAUAAGUAUAUAAGUUACAUGAUAAAAUAGAUAAAUUAUUCAAUUAGUACAAAAAGAGUAGAGUGAACAAGCAUUUUAAUAGUAUAAUUAUAAUAGUAAAUUAAGUACCUUGAGGUAAGAAGUCAUUAACACAACUGAUAUCACACACUUGUUUAAUUUUAUAUGAACAAUAGAUAUUUUUGUCUUUGUAGACCAUGUCAACCACAACCACCAUGUAUUUAUUAUCCUCGACAUCCAACUACAACUAGCAUAAAGAGAAUAUUAGCAUAUAUUUCCAAAAGAAUUAGCAAGAUUUUGAAUAAGUAGAAGUUUUAUCGUGGUUAUCUUGAACACCCUUCAUUUAUUAAUAAAUAU